AAAUGAUUUAUCGCCGUAGGAUGGGACUGCGGCCUAUCAGCUAGUUGGUGAGGUAAUGGCCCACCAAGGCUAUAACAGGUACGGGCUCUGAGAGGAGGGGCCCGGAGAUGGGUACUGAGACACGGACCCAGGCCCUAUGGGGCGCAGCAGGCGAGAAACCUUUGCAAUGUGCGAAAGCACGACAAGGUUAAUCCGAGUGUCUCCUGCUAAAGGAGCCUUUUGCCGGUCAUAGAACCACCGGUGAAUAAGGGGUGGGCAAGUUCUGGUGUCAGCCGCCGCGGUAAAACCAGCACCUCGAGUGGUCAGGAGGUUUAUUGGGCCUAAAGCAUCCGUAGCCGGCUGCUCAAGUUUUCGGUUAAAUCUAUGCGCUUAACGUAUAGGCCGCCGAAAAUACUGGGCAGCUAGGGAGUGGGAGAGGUACACGGUACUCAAUAGGAAGGGGUAAAAUCCUUUGAUCUAUUGAUGACCACCUGUGGCGAAGGCGGUGUACCAGAACACGUUCGACGGUGAGGGAUGAAAGCUGGGGGAGCAAACCGGAUUAGAUACCCGGGUAGUCCCAGCUGUAAACGAUGCAGACUCGGUGAUGCCUUGGCUUGUGGCCAAUGCAGUGCCGCAGGGAAGCCGUUAAGUCUGCCGCCUGGGAAGUACGUACGCAAGUAUGAAACUUAAAGGAAUUGGCGGGGGAGCACCACAAGGGGUGAAGCCUGCGGUUCAUUGGAU
rnacentral:rRNA from 1 species